CAGCACCUCAAGUGGUCAGGAUGAUUAUUGGGCCUAAAGCAUCCGUAGCCGGCGCUGUAAGUUUUCGGUUAAAUCUGUACGCUCAACGUACAGGCUGCCGGGAAUACUGCAGCGCUAGGGAGUGGGAGAGGUAGACGGUACUCGGUAGGAAGGGGUAAAAUCUUUUGAUCUAUUGAUGACCACCUGUGGCGAAGGCGGUCUACCAGAACACGUCCGACGGUGAGGGAUGAAAGCUGGGGGAGCAAACCGGAUUAGAUACCCGUGUAGUCC
rnacentral:rRNA from 1 species